UACAGAGGGUGCGAGCGUUAAUCGGAAUUACUGGGCGUAAAGCGUGCGUAGACGGUUAUUUAAGUCGGAUGUAAAAGCCCCGGGCUCAACCUGGGAAUUGCAUUCGAGACUGAAUAGCUAGGGUGCGGUAGAGGGAAGCGGAAUUUCCGGUGUAGCGGUGAAAUGCGUAGAUAUCGGAAGGAACAUCAGUGGCGAAAGCGACUUCCUGGACCAGUACCGACGUUCAGGCACGAAAGCGUGGGGAGCAAACAGG
rnacentral:rRNA from 1 species